GCUGUACUUGAGGACAGCAGCAGAAAACAAAUCAUGAACCUUUACAUUAGUGGCUCAUACAUUGUCUGUGAAAUUAACCCUGAAAAUUGGAAAAAUCCCACAGAUUGAAAUACAAUCAAGCAAACAAUGGAAGUCCAAGGUAUUCUUCACAUUACACCUGCAGACUCUUUGUCUCUACCUCCUACUUUUAUGCUGCAGCAUGUGACAUC